AGAAUCAACGCUGGCGGCGUGCCUAACACAUGCAAGUCGAACGAGAAAGUGGAGCAAUCCAUGAGUAAAGUGGCGCACGGGUGAGUAACACGUGACUAACCUACCCUUGAGUGGGGGAUAAACCUAGGGAAACCUGGGCUAAUACCGCAUAAUACCUUCGGGUCAAAGGAGCAAUUCGCUUAAGGAGGGGGUCGCGGCCGAUUAGUUAGUUGGCGGGGUAAUGGCCCACCAAGACGAUGAUCGGUA
rnacentral:rRNA from 1 species